rnacentral:rRNA from 1 species
UACGAAGGUCCCAAGCGUUAUCCGGAUUUAUUGGGUUUAAAGGGUGCGUAGGCGGGCUAUUAAGUCAGUGGUGAAAUCUCCGGGCUCAACCCGGAAACUGCCAUUGAUACUAUUAGUCUUGAAUUUUGUUGAGGUAGGCGGAAUAAGUCAUGUAGCGGUGAAAUGCAUAGAUAUGACUUAGAACACCAAUUGCGAAGGCAGCUUGCUAAACAAACAUUGACGCUGAGGCACGAAAGCGUGGGGAUCAAACAGG